CACUUUCGUCAAUCUUGAUAUUGGUCUCCUUGCCUUCAUUGAUGAGUACCAUCUUCUCCAUCAAUUUCUUGUCUGAUUUCUGACGUUCUUUAAUAUCCUCGAGAAAAGGAUUCGUCAAUUUUAACAUUCCAAGCUUCACACUUGAAGAAGUAACCUCACACACAAGACUCAAGUCUCGGAAUUCUUCAAUCAACUCUAACUCUUUC
rnacentral:lncRNA from 1 species